AUACGUAGGGGGCUAGCGUUAUCCGGAAUUACUGGGCGUAAAGGGUGCGUAGGUGGUUUCUUAAGUCAGAGGUGAAAGGCUACGGCUCAACCGUAGUAAGCCUUUGAAACUGGGAAACUUGAGUGCAGGAGAGGAGAGUGGAAUUCCUAGUGUAGCGGUGAAAUGCGUAGAUAUUAGGAGGAACACCAGUUGCGAAGGCGGCUCUCUGGACUGUAACUGACACUGAGGCACGAAAGCGUGGGGAGCAAACAGGAUUAGAUACCCUGGUAGUCCACGCCGUAAACGAUGAGUACUAGCUGUCGGAGGUUACCCCCUUCGGUGGCGCAGCUAACGCAUUAAGUACUCCGCCUGGAAAGUACGCUCGCAAGAGUGAAACUCAGAGGAAUUGACGGGGACCCGCACAAGUAGCGGAGCAUGUGGUUUAAUUCGAAGCAACGCGAAGAACCCUACCUAAGCUUGACAUCCUUUUGACCGAUGCCUAAUCGCAUCUUUCCCUUCGGGGACAGAAGUGACAGGUGGUGCAUGGUUGUCGUCAGCUCGUGUCGUGAGAUGUUGGGUUAAGUCCCGCAACGAGCGCAACCCUUGCCUUUAGUUGCCAGCAUUAAGUUGGGCACUCUAGAGGGACUGCCAGGGAUAACCUGGAGGAAGGUGGGGAUGACGUCAAAUCAUCAUGCCCCUUAUGCUUAGGGCUACACACGUGCUACAAUGGGUGGUACAGAGGGCAGCCAAGUCGUGAGGCGGAGCUAAUCCCUUAAAGCCAUUCUCAGUUCGGAUUGUAGGCUGAAACUCGCCUACAUGAAGCUGGAGUUACUAGUAAUCGCAGAUCAGAAUGCUGCGGUGAAUGCGUUCCCGGGUCUUGUACACACCGCCCGUCACACCACGGGAGUUGGGGGCGCCCGAAGCCGGAUUGCUAACCUUUUGGAAGCGUCCGUCGAAGGUGAAAUCAAUAACUGGGGUG
rnacentral:rRNA from 1 species